rnacentral:rRNA from 1 species
CUCUUUAUGGGUUAACAACUUUGGUUGGGGUGACCUCGGAGAACAAAAAAUCCUCCGAGCGAUUUUAAAGACUAGACCUACAAGUCGAAUCACACAAUCGUUUAUUGAUCCAAAAAAUUGAUCAACGGAACA